AUGAAGCAGUUAAACAGAAAACUCAAGUCAGUUGGCUACGUUCCGAUCCCAGAGAACCAGAGCAGGUGGUUCCUCUGCCAGAGAGACAAUUACAGUGAGAAGCGGGAAACAACCAAAGAGGAAAAGAUUUUUGACAAUCCCCACAAUUUUGAAUAUUCAUCAUACUCAAGAACUGGAAUUCAUCAUCAAUCUCCUAGAAGAACCAGAAGAGAUUCUACUAGGAAAAUCCCAGUGGACUCCAGUCUCUGCCUGUCUUUACUAAUCAACACAGAUAAAAGAGCAUGAGCUCUGAAAUCAGACUAAGACACUUGCAGUAGAUAUUUUUAGCCUCUUUGAUCCUUAGUAUAUUUCCUCUAUAAAAUGCGGAUUAAAAAUACCUGCUCCCUGUAAAUUGGUAUGUCAUAGAGAUUAAGAAUGUCGCAUACCUGAUGCAGUAGUUAUUCAAAUUAAAUGCUUAAUAAAUGCUAUUUCCCUUUUUCUCUUUAUAGGAAC
rnacentral:lncRNA from 1 species